rnacentral:rRNA from 1 species
AAAUUGAAGGGUUUGAUCCUGGCUCAGAAUGAACGUUGGCGGCGUGGAUUAGGCAUGCAAGUCGUACGGAGGUAGCAAUACCUUAGUGGCGAAAGGGAUAGGAAUACAUAGAUAAUCUGCCUUCAGGACGCGGAUAGCGGCGGGAAACUGCCGGUAAUACGCGAUAAUUUCUCAGGAACAAAGGUGUGAUUCCGCCUGAAGAUGAGUCUAUGUCCUAUUAGUUAGUUGGCGGUGUAAUGGACCACCAAGACUAUGAUGGGUACGAGGCGUGAGAGCGUGUCCUCGAUCACUGGAACUGAGACACUGUCCAGACACCUACGGGUGGCUGCAGUCGAGAAUCUUCGGCAAUGGGCGAAAGCCUGACCGAGC